rnacentral:rRNA from 1 species
UACGUAGGGCGGAAGCGUUAUCCGGAAUUGUUGGGCGUAAAGAGCUCGUAGGCGGUUUGUCGCGUCUGCCGUGAAAGUCCGGGGCUCAACUCCGGAUCUGCGGUGGGUACGGGCAGACUAGAGUGAUGUAGGGGAGACUGGAAUUCCUGGUGUAGCGGUGAAAUGCGCAGAUAUCAGGAGGAACACCGAUGGCGAAGGCAGGUCUCUGGGCAUUAACUGACGCUGAGGAGCGAAAGCAUGGGGAGCGAACAGG